GGCUGUAAUGGGUUUGCAAUUUGGGCCCGGUGUUGGGUAAUGUAAUUAGGUAAUCAGGUUUGUGAUAUUGGGUCAGAUUAGGUUUGGGCUUAAUUGGGUUUGGGUUAAAACCGGGUUUAGGACUGUAUUUUGGGUUAGAUUUUAUUGGGCUAAUGUUUCUGUAUUUUUGGACUUUUGGACUUUUAGUUUAUUUUUUUAUUUUUUGAUUUUAUUUGUUUUUGUAAGGGCCGGGCAAAUUGGGCCUAUUACAAAUGUCUCGCUCGAAAUUUCUUCCAACGGCUUGAAUACAUCCCUAGUGGCCAUAAACAUCCACAAAACUUGUUUCUUAGUAUAAAGACUCAUCAAGGACACUUCAAGACUUAAAAGAGCAACAUCUAAGCAAAAAGUUCAAGAGAAAAUCUUUCAUUUUUUUAUUUUCUUUUCAUUGAGAG
rnacentral:lncRNA from 1 species